CACUUCAAUACAUUCCAAAAUUGAUAGGAAAUUUGUUAUUGAUUCUCUCUUCCAAAAAUUCAAAGUCUUAGAGUUGCAUUGCAAUUUUUGUUAAAUGUAUGAUUUCAUGUAUAAUAUAUUAUUACUAAGUUUAAUGGUUUAACCUAGGAAUUCCUCUCAAUGUUAAGGUUUUUAGAGGACUAACCCUAGAAUCUCUCAACUAUGAGAAGAUUGGGUUUGUGCACUUCACUAAUGUUAAAAUUGGGGCUUGACCUUUUAGAGUGAAGUGAUUCUUACAUGUUAAUACAUAUUUGCCAAUGAUAAUCAACUAUGAUGCUUACUCAUGGGAAGUUUUGGAAACUACCUCUUAAAAGGAGCACCCUCAAAAAGAAUGAAGAUUCCUUGUUCACUUGUGGAUGAAAAAGAAUCUCUAUUUAAAGCAAAAUACAAAUCUAACAAAUGGUCUUAAUACAAAGGGCUUCUGGCAUUCACAAUGGAACUCAACCAAGCAAAAACUAUUUUUAAAUGGUGUGGGCCAAUACAUGGAAUAUUUUGUAAGUAGUGCACUUUGGAAUGUCAAUUGAUACAAAGUUGCAUAUCCAGCAUGAAACUAUGUGUCCUACCAAUUUACAUGCCACAUCAAAAUGACUUAUCAAAAAUCAAAAAAAUAUUGAUUCAGAUACAUUAUUUCACAACUACAUGAUAUGUGUUUCCAACAUGUAACUUACAAAUCACAUACCCAAACUUUCCUCACACCAAAGCUUUAUUAUCAGAAUUCAUUCAAACACAACAAUCUAAAUAAAUAAAUAAAUAAAAACAUCAUUCAUACAUGGAUGAGAUAGUUGUAUCAAUUUAAGAUAUUUUACACAAUACCCAAAUGACCAACAUCACAUUUAACAAAAUAUAGACAGUGAUAUCAUAUUUCAGUGAAAAAUAUGAAACCCAUUAUUCAUUUUCUUUGCAAAUUAUAUAUAUAUAUAUAUAUAUAUAUAUAUAUUCACAUACACAUAUUUUUUUAUUAAAGAAAAUACAAAAAAACUUACAGAAUAUUUUUACAAAAUUAAGAAACAAAUCACCCAGGAAAGAGCUGUUGGUGAGCUCUCCUUGUCAUGCCCAGCUUCUUCUUUGUGCAAACCAAGGCAAGCAAAGGUUGCCAUCCCCCUCCCCUUGUAAGCAAAUUUUAGUGAUCUAAACUUAAAACUCACUCUCACUCUCUCUCACACACAUAUACAACUGUACUGGGCCUCCAGUUCUGCCUCCAAUCCCCAGGUCUCUCUAGCCCUCGAUUCUCUCAACUCCCAUUCAAGUUUGUUGGCUGUGUCAGACGCGAGGCACAGACAUAAAACAAAAGAAAACUAAACUAAAUUAAAUUAAAUUACUAAGUCAGAUGUUGCCAAAAACUGGCGUUUAAACUCAUGGGAAGUGAAAGUGUGCAUGUCUUUUUUACCAUGUGAGCUAAUUGAGGAGAAUAUGUCAAUCAAAACCUUUUGUUUUCAGAGGUCUAGAAUGAUUCAAAGCUCAGAGAGAGAGAGAGAGAGAGAGAGAGAGAGGUAGCUUAUUUUCAGAAGAGCAAACUAACACCCAAAAUUAUGUUGGAGGUUCAAAUUUCUAGCAAUGAAAUCACAACCAUGCCCGAUGGAAGCCAACAGUGUAUAAAAAAAUGUAUAAAAAAUUUGUAUAGUUGGAGAGAUGUAGAUUGUGGUAGAAGGGUAUGUGUAUGGGGAUGUGGGGGGUUGUUGUAUGUGAGGGUGUGUGAGACAGAUGCAUGGCUUUGUGGUAAAAACAAAGUCACAAGGCAGAGAGAAUGGCAGUGGCCACAAGGCAAACAAACAGGACUUCUCUCUGUCACCAGCAGCACAAACAAACACUAACUGCUCUCUUGUGUAUACACAUGAUGCAGAGGUUUAUUUUUAAAACAAUUUUGUCACUCCCACGAGAAGGCUACAAAGGGGUCAAUACUAGGAGCAACUCUUGACCAGUUUGAACAGGACGACUCCUCAUUACCUUUUCUACCAUGUGGACAUGGGGAGUAAAUAUAUAUACCCAAUAUAUAUACAUAUAGUACGAGUUCUUUUCUAUCUUAUUUUAACUUUUGGGCUCAAACUUUGCAGCCCAAUUUCUGGUACCUAAACACAUGAUUUUUCAUGGUAUUCUGGUGCCCUAGUCCCUGUUUUGAUGCCCUACCAUUGCACGUAAUAGCAGACUUGGCUUCUACAACACGUAAAGAUCUUUUGCGGUGAUUCUCUUUGGCUCCCUCUUCAUCUGUUUAAUACAAGAUCUUGCAGGCUUUUUAUUGUGUGAACUUGAAGUGGUUGUAUGGACAAUAUGUUCCCAUCCAUUUCAUCCUCGUGCCCUAAAGUUCAUCGGUGCUCGAACCUCACAUCCCAAUUUGUUGCACCUAAAGCAAUCUUCAUGGUUUGUUUGUAGUGUCCUAAUCUUUACUUUGAUGCCCUAAUAUUACAUCUAAUUGUAGUUUUGUCUUCAUUGUUGAGCAACAUUUUGUGGAGGUGAUUCUCUUUAGUUUCUUCAAGGUGGUAUACUUUGCCCCUCUUUCUUGUUGUUGUAGCCAUGUGGUAUCUAUUGGGUCUUGGUUUCUUUUUGGUUGAGGCCCUUCUUAUGACUUUUCUUCUAAUCCUCAUUGUUAUCAUCAUGUAUUAAAAUUUCUUUUGUCCUCUUGAAAUUAUUGCUUCGAUUGUAGAAUCUCUUUGUGAUGAUAAAUUUUUAUUUUUUAAACUUUGGAGACUUUAGUUACAUUGUUUUGCAUGUAGAAUGCUCAUUCUUUAACAAUUUAAUUCAUGUGUUUUAAUUUUUUUUACUCUAUUUGAAAUCUAUACAAUUUGAUUAGUUUUGAGUGAAUAGUAAGAUUAUAUAAUGUUGUAUACAUGUGUAUACAAAUAUAUAUAUAUAUAUAUAUAUAGUAUUCUGAAAAAUGUAAUGGAUAGACAUAAAAUUGCUUUUCAAGUUCAAAAUCCUCUUUCAAAUCCUAUUGAUUUCAAUGACUAAGGCUUUAUCAAAGAAUUAUUACAAGGUCAAGACACAUCUUUGUUGUGGCAAUCAUGGUUCAUUAAAUUUUGUAAAAGCACAUUAAUGAUUUCUUACUAGAACAAGAAAUAGAGAAUAUAUAUAUAUUAUAGAAAAUUUAAGUUAUACAUUUAAGAGUUUUUUUAAGUAAAAAUCAUCUAUAAAUAAAUUUAUUAUUUGUAAACUAGUUGUAAUUUCUAAUCUUAAAAUUAUGUGUUAUAUACUAUGUCAUUUAUAAAUACUAUUUUUUAAC
rnacentral:lncRNA from 1 species